rnacentral:rRNA from 1 species
CUUCGGGUUGUAAAGCUCUUUCGGGAGGGAAGAAAAGGUUCCGGCGAAUAUCCUGGAUUGAUGACGGUACCUCACUAAGAAGCACCGGCUAACUACGUGCCAGCAGCCGCGGUAAUACGUAGGGUGCGAGCGUUAAUCGGAAUUACUGGGCGUAAAGCGUGCGCAGGUGGUUUGUUAAGUCAGAUGUGAAAGCCCCGAGCUUAACUUGGGAACUGCGUUUGAAACUGGCAAGCUAGAGUCUGUCAGAGGGGGGUAGAAUUCCACGUGUAGCAGUGAAAUGCGUAGAGAUGUGGAGGAAUACCAAUGGCGAAGGCAGCCCCCUGGGACAAAACUGACGCUCAUGCACGAAAGCGUGGGGAGCAAACAGGAUUAGAUACCCUGGUAGUCCACGCCCUAAACGAUGUCAACUGGUUGUUGGGCAACUUGAUUGUUUUGUAACCAAGCUAACGCCAGAAGUUUACCCCCUGGGGAAUACGG